UAAACUACGAUUAGAUACCCUAUUAUUUUAAAUGUAAAAUGUUAAUGCUUGAGUAGUAAGAGUUAUGGCCUUGAAACUCAAAGAAUUUGGCGGUGUUUUAGUCCUUUCAGAGGAACCUGUCCCGUAAUCGAUAUUCCGCGUUAGACCUUACUUAAUCUUGAAUUUUAGUUUGUAUACCGCCGUCGUCAGAAUAUCCUAUGAGGGUUUUUAGUAUUCUUUAUUCUAUAAAAUGGUUUAGAGGGAUGUCAGGUCAAGGUGCAGCUGAUGGUUAAGUGGAGAUGGGUUACAAUAAAUUUAUUUAAAACGGAGAGUUGAUUUGCAAUUAGUAACUUGAAGGCGGAUUUGAAUGUAAUUUUAGAAAGUACACUAAAUUGAUUGAGGCUCUAAAACGUGCACACAUCGCCCGUCGCUCUUA
rnacentral:rRNA from 1 species